AAAUUUAUUAGCGAUUCCCAGCAGCCUUUCGCGCUCGUAUUGCAAAGCGGAAAAGUCGAACACGAGCGCGAAAGGCUGCUGGGAAUCGCUAAUAAAUUAAUGAAUUU